GACGAACGCUGGCGGCGUGCUUAACACAUGCAAGUCGAACGGAAAGGCCCUGCUUUUGUGGGGUGCUCGAGUGGCGAACGGGUGAGUAACACGUGAGUAACCUGCCCUUGACUUUGGGAUAACUUCAGGAAACUGGGGCUAAUACCGGAUAGGAGCUCCUGCUGCAUGGUGGGGGUUGGAAAGUUUCGGCGGUUGGGGAUGGACUCGCGGCUUAUCAGCUUGUUGGUGGGGUAGUGGCUUACCAAGGCUUUGACGGGUAGCCGGCCUGAGAGGGUGACCGGGCAGAUGGGGACUGAGGGGCGGACCAGGCGGCUACGGGAGGCAGCAGUGGGGAGUGUUGGACAACGGGCGGAAGCCUGAUGCAGCAGCGCCGCGGGCGGGAAGACGGGGUGCGGGUGGUGAAAAGCUGUCGCCUGUGACGAAGCGUGCGUGACGGUACGGGGUAAAGUAGCACCGGCUAACUACGUG
rnacentral:rRNA from 1 species